ACUCAAAUGAAUUGACGGGGGCCCGCACAAGCGGUGGAGCAUGGGGUUUAAUUCGUCACUAACCGAAGAACCUUACCCAGGCUUGACAUCCCCGGACCGGCGGUGAAAGCCGUCUUUCCCCGCGAGGGGACCGGGAGACAGGUGUUGCAUGGCUGUCGUCAGCUCGUGUCGUGAGAUGUUGGGUUAAGUCCCGCAACGAGCGCAACCCUCACUGUGUGUUGCUAGCGGAAACGCGCACUCACACGGAACUGCCGGGGCAACUCGGAGGAAGGCGGGGAUGACGUCAAGUCGGCAUGGCCCUUACGCCUGGGGCUACACCCAUGCUACAAUGGGCCGGACAGAGGGCUGCAAACCCGCAAGGGGGAGCCAAUCCCAAAAACCGGCUCUCAGUUGGAAUAGGGGUCUGCAACUCGACCCCUUGAACUCGGAAUCGCUAGUAAACGCCGGUCAGCCAAACGGCGUUGAAUCCGUUCCCGGGCCUUGUACACACCGCCCGU
rnacentral:rRNA from 1 species